rnacentral:rRNA from 1 species
GACGAACGCUGGCGGCGUGCUUAACACAUGCAAGUCGAACGGAAAGGCCCUGCUUGCAGGGUACUCGAGUGGCGAACGGGUGAGUAACACGUGGGUGAUCUGCCCUGCACUUCGGGAUAAGCCUGGGAAACUGGGUCUAAUACCGGAUAGGAGCCAUUUUUAGUGUGAUGGUUGGAAAGUUUUUUCGGUGUAGGAUGAGCUCGCGGCCUAUCAGCUUGUUGGUGGGUAAUGGCCUACCAAGGCGGCGACGGGUAGCCGGCCUGAGAGGGUGGACGGCCACAUUGGGACUGAGAUACGGCCCAGACUCCUACGGGAGGCAGCAGUGGGGAAUAUUGCACAAGGGGCGCAAGCCGGAUGCAGCGACGCCGCGUGGGGGAUGACGGCCUUCGGGUUGUAAACUCCUUUCGCUAGGGACGAAGCUUUUUGUGACGGUACCUAGAGAAGAAGCACCGGCUAACUACGUG